CGGCGAGAGCGGGUCGCCG
rnacentral:snRNA from 1 species